GAUGAACGCUGGCGGCGUGCCUAAUACAUGCAAGUCGAGCGAACAGACGAGGAGCUUGCUCCUCUGACGUUAGCGGCGGACGGGUGAGUAACACGUGGAUAACCUACCUAUAAGACUGGGAUAACUUCGGGAAACCGGAGCUAAUACCGGAUAAUAUAUUGAACCGCAUGGUUCAAUAGUGAAAGACGGUUUUGCUGUCACUUAUCGAUGGUUCCGCGCCGCAUUAGCUAGUUGGUAAGGUAACGGCUUACCAAGGCAACGAUGCGUAGCCGACCUGAGAGGGUGAUCGGCCACACUGGAACUGAGACACGGUCCAGACUCCUACGGGAGGCAGCAGUAGGGAAUCUUCCGCAAUGGGCGAAAGCCUGACGGAGCAACGCCGCGUGAGUGAUGAAGGUCUUCGGAUCGUAAAACUCUGUUAUUAGGGAAGAACAAAUGUGUAAGUAACUAUGCACGUCUUGACGGUACCUAAUCAGAAAGCCACGGCUAACUACGUG
rnacentral:rRNA from 1 species